rnacentral:rRNA from 1 species
GACAGAGGAUGCAAGCGUUAUCCGGAAUGAUUGGGCGUAAAGCGCGUGUAGGCGGCUCGUUAAGUCUGUUGUGAAAGCCCAGGGCUCAACCCUGGAACGCCGAUGGAUACUGUCGAGCUAGAGUCCGGAAGAGGCGAGUGGAAUUCCUGGUGUAGCGGUGAAAUGCGCAGAUAUCAGGAGGAACACCAAUGGCGAAGGCAGCUCGCUGGGACGGUACUGACGCUGAGACGCGAAAGCGUGGGGAGCGAACAGG